rnacentral:rRNA from 1 species
AUCUAUGGCCAUGCUACCCUGAACAAACCCCAUCCCAUCUGAUCUCGGAAGUUAAACAGGGUCGGGCCUGGUUAGUACUUGGAUGAGAGACCACCUAGGAAGACCAGGUGCUGUAGGUG